rnacentral:rRNA from 1 species
UACGUAGGGUGCGAGCGUUAAUCGGAAUUACUGGGCGUAAAGCGUGCGCAGGCGGUUUUGUAAGUCAGAUGUGAAAUCCCCGGGCUUAACCUGGGAACUGCGUUUGAAACUACAAGGCUAGAGUGUGGCAGAGGGGGGUGGAAUUCCACGUGUAGCGGUGAAAUGCGUAGAGAUGUGGAGGAACACCGGUGGCGAAGGCGGCAUCCUGGACCGGUAUUGACGCUGAGGCGCGAAAGCUAGGGGAGCAAACGGG